GAAAGGUAUGCUAAUACGGGAUAAUAUAUUGAGAGGCAUCUCUUAAAUAUCAAAGGUGAGCCAGUACAGGAUGGACCCGCGUCUGAUUAGCUAGUUGGUAAGGUAACGGCUUACCAAGGCGACGAUCAGUAGCCGACCUGAGAGGGUGAUCGGCCACAUUGGAACUGAGACACGGUCCAAACUCCUACGGGAGGCAGCAGUGGGGAAUAUUGCACAAUGGGCGAAAGCCUGAUGCAGCAACGCCGCGUGAGUGAUGAAGGCCUUCGGGUCGUAAAACUCUGUCCUCAAGGAAGAUAAUGACGGUACUUGAGGAGGAAGCCCCGGCUAACUACGUGCCAGCAGCCGCGGUAGUACGUAGGGGGCUAGCGUUAUCCGGAUUUACUGGGCGUAAAGGGUGCGUAGGCGGUCUUUCAAGUCAGGAGUGAAAGGCUACGGCUCAACCGUAGUAAGCUCUUGAAACUGGGAGACUUGAGUGCAGGAGAGGAGAGUGGAAUUCCUAGUGUAGCGGUGAAAUGCGUAGAUAUUAGGAGGAACACCAGUUGCGAAGGCGGCUCUCUGGACUGUAACUGACGCUGAGGCACGAAAGCGUGGGGAGCAAACAGGAUUAGAUACCCUGGUAGUCC
rnacentral:rRNA from 1 species